GACGUAGGGCGCGAGCGUUGUCCGGAUUUAUUGGGCGUAAAGAGCUCGUAGGCGGCUUGUCGCGUCGAAUGUGAAAACUCGGGGCUCAACUCCGAGCUUGCAUUCGAUACGGGCAGGCUAGAGUUCGGUAGGGGAGACUGGAAUUCCUGGUGUAGCGGUGAAAUGCGCAGAUAUCAGGAGGAACACCGGUGGCGAAGGCGGGUCUCUGGGCCGAUAUCGACGCUGAGGAGCGAAAGCGUGGGGAGCAAACAGG
rnacentral:rRNA from 1 species